rnacentral:rRNA from 1 species
CCUACGGGAGGCAGCAGUAGGGAAUAUUGCUCAAUGGGGGAAACCCUGAAGCAGCAACGCCGCGUGGAGGAUGAAGGUUUUCGGAUUGUAAACUCCUUUUGUUAGAGAAGACAAUGACGGUAUCUAACGAAUAAUCACCGGCCAACUCCGUGCCAGCAGCCGCGGUAACACGGAGGGCGCAAGCGUUACUCGGAAUCACUGGGCGUUAAGAGCGCGUAGGCGGGAUAGCAAGUCAGAUGUGAAAUCCUAGGGCUUAACCAUAGAACUGCAUUUGAAACUGUUAUUCUAGAGUAUGGGAGAGGUAGGUGGAAUUCUUGGUGUAGGGGUGAAAUCCGUAGAGAUCAGGAGGAAUACUCAUUGCGAAGGCGGCCUGCUAGAACAUAACUGACGCUGAUGCGCGAAAGCGUGGGGAGCAAACAGGAUUAGAUACCCGGGUAGUC